rnacentral:rRNA from 1 species
GGUCGGGACGAUUAUUGGGCCUAAAGCAUCCGUAGCCGGUUCUACAAGUCUUCCGUUAAAUCCACCUGCUCAACAGAUGGGCUGCGGAGGAUACUAUAGAGCUAGGAGGCGGGAGAGGCAAGCGGUACUUAGUGGGUAGGGGUAAAAUCCGUUGAUCCAUUGAAGACCACCAGUGGCGAAGGCGGCUUGCCAGAACGCACUCGACGGUGAGGGAUGAAAGCUGGGGGAGCAAACCGG